rnacentral:rRNA from 1 species
CACACUGGGACUGAGACACGGCCCAGACUCCUACGGGAGGCAGCAGUGGGGAAUCUUGCACAAUGGGCGAAAGCCUGAUGCAGCAACGCCGCGUGAGGGACGAAGGCUUUCUGAGUUGUAAACCUCUUUCAGCAGGGACGAUUGUGACGGUACCUGCAGAAGAAGCCCCGGCCAACUACGUGCCAGCCGCCGCCGUAACAC